AUUGAACGCUGGCGGCAUGCCUUACACAUGCAAGUCGAACGGUAACAGGCCGCAAGGUGCUGACGAGUGGCGAACGGGUGAGUAAUGCAUCGGAACGUGCCCAGUAGUGGGGGAUAGCCCGGCGAAAGCCGGAUUAAUACCGCAUACGACCUGAGGGUGAAAGGGGGGGAUCGCAAGACCUCUCGCUAUUGGAGCGGCCGAUGUCAGAUUAGCUAGUUGGUGGGGUAAAGGCCUACCAAGGCAACGAUCUGUAGUUGGCCUGAGAGGACGACCAGCCACACUGGGACUGAGACACGGCCCAGACUCCUACGGGAGGCAGCAGUGGGGAAUUUUGGACAAUAGGCGCAAGCCUGAUCCAGCAAUGCCGCGUGCAGGAAGAAGGCCUUCGGGUUGUAAACUGCUUUUGUCAGGGAAGAAAUCUUCUGGGUUAAUACCUCGGGAGGAUGACGGUACCUGAAGAAUAAGCACCGGCUAACUACGUGCCAGCAGCCGCCGCAGUAA
rnacentral:rRNA from 1 species